UUUCUGGACCCUCCAAGAAGAGAGAAUCCAUUCCUGGACCCUUUCGCUAUGAGCAGUUGAUGCUGGCAUCCUUCUUUUUACUCCAGGAGGGGAAGAGAGGACGCGCAGGGCAGACAGAGAGGGAGGAGAGCAACCCCGCGGCGAUGCCCACAGCUCUUGCCUUGUUGACGGCCCGGCGACCUUGCACCCGAAUAGAGAGAGACAGAGCGAUGCAGGCUUCCAGCUCCAGGAGGCGCACGGGGCCAACAUAAAGCCCCUGUGGCAAACACCGUGAAAUGCAGAAUGCUGUGAAGCAGGAGGAGGCGCUCACGGCCCAUGGAGGACACGGGUAACAGCACUGCGCUCAUCUCUAGCAGCUCUCGGCCAGGACAGCAGCGGCCCGUGGAGCAGGGGAGGGGCCCUGCAGACUUCCCGGCCCCACGGCGUCGCGUCCUGCGGGUCUCCCUGUCUCGGCACAGCCCACUCGCCUCCGGGGGACGCUCCCUCUCCAGCCAGCCCUGCCUGCUCAGGGUCCCUGCUCCACGGCGCUCCUGAGCUGCCAGCUUCCUGAUCCCCUCAGCGAGACGUGAGCACCACGUAGUAAGUGCUGCUGGGAGAACUUUCGUUCCUGCAGAAGUUUCUACUAAAUAGUCUCACACCAGGGCCCUCACAGUGGAAGAGGUUUUGAACAUUUAACAGAACCCUGAUCCUGUAAGUUUUGGAGAUGGUUCAGCAUCCAUGGUCCAGUGGCUCCUAAUCGAGUUCAUGGUGGGAAUUCACAACGACCAUCGCAGAUGAUAAACCCAUUUGCAAGCUGCUAUCAUUGGAAGGAGAAAUACUUACUGCAGCAUGGAGAGGAGGGUUUGCUACAUGGCAAACUGACACGUGAAGCCACUCUGCAAUGUCCAGAACUCGUGCACCAACUCCAAAGCCUGCUGCAGUAGAACUGAAGGAAUUCAUUCCCAGGCUUCCUGGGUCUGAAAAGCAGGAGAGAGAAAGGCCAUCAAAAGCCCAUAAUCUCACGCUC